ACCUGUGUCGUGAAAGGGUGGGAUUCUUCCUCCUGAAGGGAAUAUGGUUGCCUAGGGACGGAUGACUCGUCAGAAAAGUGCUGUUUGUCUCCUUAGUCUUGGGGAUAUAUGCUCUCUGACCAUUUCUUCCCAGAAUUCUUCCCAAGAGAAGAAACCAGACGAGGGAGAAGUGACAGCUCUGCGUCUCACAGCCAGAUCCCAGGAAACAGUGACAUUCAAGGAUGUGGCCAUGGACUUUACACCAGAGGAAUGGGGCAAGCUGGAUCCUGCACAAAGGGAUGUGAUGCUGGAGAACUAUAGGAACCUAGUCUCACUUUGGCUUCCAGUUUCCAAACCUGAGAACUACAAUUUGGACAAUGGAAUGGAACCAUUGAAAUUUGAGAGAAAACCACCAAAACGUAGCUACUCAGACAUGGAGAGUAUACCUGAGAGCAAAGAUUCAACCUCAGUGCAAGAUUUUUCCAAAGAAGAAUCAUGUCAAGAUGUAAUAAUGGACAGACUAACAAGAAAUAGUGUUUAUGACUCCACCUUGGAAACAGCUCUUGAAUGUGAAAAUUGGUUAGAGAAUCAGCAAGGAAAUCAGGAGAGACACUUGAGACAAGUGUUCACCCACAUGAAUUCAUUUGUUGAAGAAAGAAAUCAGCAUGAUAUAUAUUGGAAAAACUUCAGUCAUAAGUCUGUCCUUAUCACUCAAGACAGAGUUCCCAGAGGAUCCUAUCCAUUUCAUACACUGGGUACAAGACUGAAGCAGAAGUCAAGCUUAAUGAAAAAGCAAAGAACCUAUAAAGAGAAAAAACCUCAUAAGUGUAAUGAUUGUGGUGAACUCUUCACUUACCAUUCAGUACUUAUUCGACACCAGAGAGUUCAUACUGGAGAGAAACCCUAUACCUGCAAUGAAUGUGGGAAAUCUUUUAGCCACAGAGCUAAUUUAACUAAACACCAGAGAACUCAUAAUAGAGUUCUGUUUGAGUGUAGUGAAUGCAAGAAAACCUUUACAGAAAGCUCAUCCCUUGCAAUACAUCAGCGAAUUCACAUUGGAGAGAGACCUUAUGAAUGCAGUGAAUGUGGGAAAGGUUUUAAUCGAAGUACACAUCUUGCACAGCAUCAGUUGAUUCAUACUGGAGUAAAGCCUUAUGAAUGUAGUGAAUGUGAUAAAGCUUUCAUUCAUUCAUCAGCACUUAUUAAACAUCAAAGAACUCAUACUGGAGAGAAACCUUAUAAGUGUCUAGAAUGUGGGAAAGCCUUUAGCCAUUGCUCAUCCCUUACCAAGCAUCAGAGAGUUCAUACUGGAGAAAAGCCAUAUGAGUGUACUGAGUGUGGAAAAACGUUUAGUCAGAGCACACACCUUGUUCAGCAUCAGAGAAUUCAUACUGGAGAAAAGCCCUAUGAGUGCAGUGAAUGUGGGAAAACUUUUAGCCGGAGCUCAAAUUUUGCUAAACAUCAAAGAAUUCAUAUUGGAAAGAAACCCUACAAAUGCAGUGAAUGUGAAAAAGCCUUCAUUCAUUCAUCAGCUCUUAUCCAGCACCAGAGAACUCAUACUGGAGAGAAACCUUUUAAAUGUAAUGAUUGUGGGAAAAGUUUUAAGUGCAGUUCAUCCCUCAUCAGACAUCAAAGAAUUCACACUGAAGAACAGCCCUGAAAAAUUACUGAAUGUGAGGAAAUUGUGGAGCAGAACCUAAGAACAAAUGUGGACUGGAGUGAGCCCAAGAAGAACAAAUUCCUUCUGCAGUUAUCCUAUGCAAAUAACUACAUUGUCGUAAAAGACUUCUACAAGAAUAAGAAUGCACCCCCAAGAAAAAAAGGAUUAAUCCUUAAAAGCUUAAUCACCUGCCACUGGACCUUACCUCUAAAUUUUCUACAAUUUCUCAACACUACCACACUGGUUAUUAUGUGGAUUCAGCUUGACAUGACUGCAGCCAGCUUGAGUUGGUAUUAUGAUUGCCUCUGAUUAACACUGGUCAGUUUUCUUCUAGUAGAUUUUUCAGCAUGCUAUAAAUAGACAAAACCACUGGGGUAAUACAUAGAGUUUUACAGUUGGACCCUGAGGCUAGGAUUGAGCCUGCUAUUUUAUAUUAGCUUGAGAUAAACCAAGUACAUUCCACCUUGGAUGAAGUUACUUUUGUCCUAACCAAUAUGUACACCCAUACUUCUGACCCAUGUGCAGAUCCACCUGAUCUUAGGGCUUCCUAGGACCAUGCUUCUAUCAACAAGUUCCCAAUAAAUUAAAAUAUUCUUUGCAAUCCUGGAUCUGCCUACCUCUUUUCUUUGGUCUCACCAACCUCAGGGCUGGCUCUCAUACCCUAGGACUGAAAUGCUCCAGAACAGCAGACCAAGCUUCUAGUGUAUGAACCUUUUGGGAAAACACUUAAACCAUAUUCAAACCAUAAUACAUGUGAAAUAAACCUAAGUAAUUCUUGCAUUUCUCCUGCUUGUAAGUGUCACAUCAUAGGGUCCAAGGCAAUAGAUUAUAUUUGGUUUAUUUUUUAUAAUAAAGGAUGGGAUAAAAUUGGCACAUGUCAAAAUUUAUUUUAUGAUUUAGAUCUAGAAUGUCCCUUGAGGCUUCAUGUGAUCGGGACUGGGGCUUUUAAAGAUGACUGGAACAUGAGGGCACCACUCAUCAGUGAAUUAAUCCAGAAAUUAGUCCAGAGGUAAGUGUGCUGCAGGAAAUGGGCCCUGGUCAGGGGAGACAGGGCACUGAGGACAUGAGCUGGAAGGUUAUUAUAUCACCCUGUAGAGCCAUCCAGACACUCUGAGGAUGCUGAAGCCAUGAUUCAAGGGAGGCUAGCUUCUACUCCAGCUGGCAGUAGCCCUUUGCAUCAUCCACGGUGCUGAUUUUAUGGGUAUGCAGAAUACAAGAGUCUUGGGAUCAGGGAGGUUUCUACCCAGAUUUUAAAAGAAUGCCUAGGAAACCAGACUGUGUGUCCCUGAGAGUGCAAUGCAUAAAGCUGUGAGAGUAAAGCCAAAAGUGGGGACCGCAGGGAAUUGGAGAGGCCAGGAACACGGAAUGUCUCCUGAAGACAGCUGCAGGGAAUUAUCAAAGUCAACCCAAAUGAGAGGCCAUGAGCGCUACAACAAGCAAUGCCAUAGUGCCAGGGCUGCCUAAGCCCUUUGAAGCUCACACCUCACCACCACCUGCCCCAGAUGCCAGGCAUGAAGCUACAGGAUUUAAUGUUUGUCCUGCUGGGUUUCAGUCUCCUCUCAGUCCUAUUUUUUUCUAUUCUCCCUAUUUCUCCCUUUUGAAAUGAGAAUGUUGACCCUGUUUCAUUUUAUGUCAGCAGUGUUUAACAUUCCUUUUGAUUUUCACAGGGCCUCACAGCUAAGAGUUUGCCUUGAGUCUCCAGAGGAUACUUUGAACUUGGACUUUUUAGCAAUGCUGAAACUAUUAAGAUUUUGUCAACUCUUAAAGAUAGGCUAAAUGCAUUUAGCAUAAAGAAAUGAACGUGAGUCUUUGGGGACCAGAGGUGGAAUGUUAUUGUUGAGAUCUAGAAUGUCCCUCAAAGGCCUCAUAUGUUCAGAGGUGGAGCUUUUAAAAGAUGAUUGGAUCAUGGGGUGUGUACUCAUCCAUGAGUUACCAUGGAUGGGUCCAGAGCUAGUUGGUUCUUGGAGGUGGGCCUGGCUGAAGGAGGUGGGUCACUGGGGACAUUACCUGGAAGAAUAUAUCCCUCUCUUUGGUUCCUCCUUGCUCCCUCUCUGCUUCCUGGCUGCCAUUACAUGUGCACCUUUCCACUGUGCAAGCCUUCCUACCAUACUGUUUGUCUAUUUAAGCCUGCCAAGAUGGAAUAAAACUUCUGAAACUAAACCACAAUAAACCUUUCCUCCUUUAAGUUGGGAGUAUCAGUUACUGUAUUGUGUCCCAGCACUGAGAAAGUGACUAACACAAUGUAAUUCUGGUGAGACACAAAAUCUCUGCUGUUUGGGGAAAUCGCACAGAAAGUAAAGAAUGACCUUUCAUUUCCUCUUGUAAGACCAUCAUUUAAGCAAAGAUU